GUGCUCACUUCAGCAGCACAUAUACUAAAAUUGGAAAAAUACAGAUAAGAUUAGCAUGGCCCCUAAGCAAGGAUAACUGUAACGUAAAUUUGUGAAGCAUUCCAUAUUUUA
rnacentral:snRNA from 1 species